GGCCCCGUAGCUCAGCGGUUAGAGCAGACGACUCAUAAUCGUUUGGUCCUCGGUUCGAAUCCGAGCGGGGCUA
rnacentral:tRNA from 1 species